GACGAACCGUGCGAACGUUAUUCGGAAUCACUGGGCUUAAAGCGCGUGUAGGCGGGCCGGCACGUCGACUGCUGAAAUCCCCCGGCUCAACCGGGGAAGGGCAUCGAUACGACCGGCCUGGAGGGGGUAGGGGGACGGGAACUUCCGGUGGAGCGGUGAAAUGCGUUGAGAUCGGAAGGAACGCCGCGGCGAAAGCGCGUCUCUGGACCCACCUGACGCUGAGACGCGAAAGCCAGGGGAGCGAACGGG
rnacentral:rRNA from 1 species